AUGUGGCCAAGUGAAUCCAUCCUGCCGUCCAUCUCCACUUUCACCAGCCCGUACCGCAAGCGCCGCCUGCAGGUGCGCUGACCCCGCGCCCAGCCCGAGGCCAGGGGAACCCACAACUACCUCAACAGCGUGCGGGACUCCAUUCGGUCCACAGGGCUGGAUGGCCUGGGGCCGAGGCCACCCCGAAGCCCCCGGCGACCCCGCCGUCUGCGUCCUAUUACCCGAACACUGCACACCGCUGCCCUACGGCGCCCCCGUGAUCGGCCCGCCUUGGUCUCCCAAAGUGCUGGGAUUACAGGCGUGAGCCACUGCGCCCUGCCUGCUCAACCGCUUUCAACUGGCGCUGCCCAGCCACCUGGUCAAAGCCCAGCACCCUGAAGCAGAUGGCGGCAGCUGCGGCUGCGCACCCAGGUUCAGGUAUGCAUCGCGCGUCCUCUCAAACACUAGGGCGCCCCGGGCCUGCAGCUUCAUGCAUGCGAGGUCCCGGGUCCCUCCCAUUCCGCCCCCAACACCUGCCCCUCAGCCCCUACGACCCGCACGCCUCCUUCCCGCUGCCCUUCCGUGGCCCUGGUUUGGGACACCCAGCCCGGCCUUCAUGAGGCGCCCCCCGCCCAGCUCCGCCCCUCCACGCCCCUGUCUUUAGUCUCUUAGGCGGUGGCCGCCGCCGCCACAGCCCUGGGCCUGGCACCCCCAGUCGCCCGCGGCCUCCUUGUGGUGGCACCGGCGUCCCCGCUGGAGCUGCUGGAGGCCACGCCCAAGCGUGGCAGCUGCUCCUGGCCUGGGAACUGCAACACCAGGCAUACCUAUGUGGCUACGGCCAGACCUACAGCAAGAAUUCUCCCCUGCAGGCACAUCUGCGCAGCACACAAGUGACAAGCCCGACCACUGCCACUGGGAUGGAAGCAGCUGGAAGUGUGCUCACUCAGACAAGCUAACGCUCCACCACCACAAGCACAGGGGCCACCGGCCAUUUCAGGGCCAUUGGUGCCACCACGCCUUCUUGCGCUCUGCCCACCUUGCCCUGCACAGGAAGCGGCACAUG
rnacentral:lncRNA from 1 species